UUAACGCACAGGCGCCUCGCUCUCUCUAUCUACUGCUGUACUGCCUCAGCGCGACACGCCGGGAGGAGGAUCACUGUGCGUCCGUAUCACUUGACUAUUUGGAUACAAAGCCAAGUGACAUAGAUCUAUGGAAAUACCCAAGUAGGAAUUGCACGAAACAUAGCAACAAAAAAACAGCGGGCGUCUGGACGGAUCUCGGGCCAAAAGAAAAAAGUGACGACCCGACCUUCAACCAAGCGUGAAAACACCACCCCCUCACCCCCACACCCCUGAAGGACUCGGCGAGGUGUGUGUGUGUGAGUGUGUGUGUGGGUGCGUGUGUGUGCCUGACUUCAAGGACUGACCCUGGUCUUCCCUGUGACGCGGUGCCCUGCAGCGAAUGAGCCCUGUACAUGCGUCUCCCUGCCAACCGUCCCACACCGAGAUGAACUGUGAGCAGGACUUUGGGGAGGAGGGCCUUGGGGUCACGCUGACGCUCAGACUGCUCAUGCAUGGAAAGGAGGUGGGCAGCAUCAUCGGAAAGAAAGGGGAGACUGUGAAAAGAAUACGAGAGGAGGUAUGUUCUGGUUUCUGUGUUCAGCCAUCAACCGUCUUAUCCUUCUGUGGAGAGGGAGAUUGAGGUGCCUGCAUAUUCUCCCGUCCCCCUUGAUCUCACUACUUUGUUGGUUGGAGUUUUGUGUGUUUGUGUGUGUGUGUGUUUGUGUUUGUUUUUACGUGUUUGUCUGUGUGUGUGUUUGUGUGUGUUUUUGUGUGUGUGUGUUUGUGUGUGUGUGCGUGUGUGUGUGUGUGUGUGUGUGUGUGUGUGUGUGUGUGUGUGUGUGUGUGUGUGUGUGUGUGUGUG